UCCGGCUGCUCAGGACCCAAGUGACCCAGAAGAAUGACUGGAUGAGGCAACGUUUAAUGAGCUUGGAGUGGAACGCGGUCCAACUGCCCCUCCAUGAUGGGGGCUGGCUGUAGAGACACCUAACACGGGAGGUCUGGUUUGCUGAAUUCUGCAACCCAAGAUGCUCACAGAUCCAGUGCACACACCACACUUCCCAGCUAGGAGGUCUGUCACUUAACCUCCCUCCGCCCAGCUUCCCGCCGGCACAACAAAGCAGUCAGAAGGCCCCUUAAUCAAUUACAUGACUGCACUCAGGAGGAGGGACAGAUUCCAGAGCGUAAACAAACUGCAUGGGUGAAGAAUGCCGAGCGAGAUCCGGAUCAACGCAUUACCUGAAUCACCAACUCUAUUCUUGAAACAAAACUUCAAAGGAAUUACCAGUCACCUGUGUACAUCACGCCUUAUCCAGACCCCUACCCAAAAGGCCCUAUAAAACCACAAGCCCACAGCACGCCUCUUCUCUGAGGUCCCCCGCACCCC